GUUAAAGAGACCAGAGGUUUUGGUAUCAAAGAACAACAACUGUGAGAACAGAAGCGUAAGAUCUAGAUGGUUAGUGGUGUGAUCAGAAGGGAGGAUAAAUGAGUUUAAGCCAAGGUACCAAGGAAUGGUGAGAGGAGCUUUAGCUCUAUCAUCUCCAUCACCCCCUUCCAAAAUCAACAAUCAACAGAAGUAAAAGUUAAUACUUUUUGUAAAGUAUACAAACUAUACUUUUGGUGAAAAAAAAAUCUAUAUUUGCAUUUGCUAUGACAAAUCCCUCAGCUACACCUUCCACCCAGAUGACUGCCCCCAAGCCUCCCCUGCAUGUAAAAUGUGGUCCUCCUCCCGAGCUGAGAGUUUCAGUGGGAGCUGGGGAUGAGGCCACGGUGCAACCUCAGCAAGGGGUUCUUGAAGUGAAAUGGGGCAGAGGGCCUGAGAAUUCAGGAGAUGGCAGAGACCAAAGAAAUGCUUUCUGUGCCAUUCUGGUGAGGAAGAGGAGGCAAAGAAAUCGAGAGAGAAGAAGAGGGAAGGAGAAGAAGGAGAGAGCAAAGCGAGGAGGGAAAAGAGAAGGGAACAAUAAAAGAGAUGACAAGGACAUCAAUCCUAAAACCGGCUGAGCAGCUCCCAGGGCCCUGAGAGCUCUGCCUCCAAGUUUCAAGCUUGAGUUCUCCUCCCAGGGCAACUGAAGAUCCCAGGGAGCGGCUGCCCAGCUCCCGGCAAGGAGUUCGCUCCUGUGACCCACAAGCCAAGGGGCUCCAGACCUCAGGCUGUGGAUGACUCCGUGGUUGCUCCUCCAGGGGCCUGAUUGGUGGGGAGAAGACCCUCCAGAACUUGAACCAUAGUAGGUCUCUGAACUUCCUGCUGUCUCCGCUAAGUCCUCCCCUCCAGGCCUGUACUCUGCAGCCUUCCUUCGUCUCAGAUUCGCUCA
rnacentral:lncRNA from 1 species